rnacentral:rRNA from 1 species
CACUGCAUUCAGUGCAGUAUCCAUACCUGAAUACAUAGGGUAUGAGAAGCGAACCCGGAGAACUGAACCAUCUAAGUACCCGGAGGAAAAGAAAUCAACCGAGAUUCCGCAAGUAGUGGCGAGCGAACGCGGAGGAGCCUGUAUGUGAUAGCCGUUGAGAUAGAAGAACAAGCUGGGAAGCUUGGCCAUAGUGGGUGAUAGCCCCGUAUUCGAAAUCUCAUCGGUGGUACUAAGCAUACGACAAGUAGGGCGGGACACGUGGAAUCCUGUCUGAACAUGGGGGGACCAUCCUCCAAGGCUAAAUACUCAUCAUCGACCGAUAGUGAACCAGUACCGUGAGGGAAAGGCGAAAAGAACCCCGGGAGGGGAGUGAAACAGAACCUGAAACCUGAUGCAUACAAACAGUGGGAGCGGACUUGUUCCGUGACUGCGUACCUUUUGUAUAAUGGGUCAACGACUUACGUUCAGUAGCGAGCUUAACCGGAUAGGGGAGGCGUAGGGAAACCGAGUCUUAAUAGGGCGAUUAGUUGCUGGGCGUAGACCCGAAACCGAGUGAUCUAUCCAUGGCCAGGAUGAAGGUGCGGUAACACGCACUGGAGGUCCGAACCCACGCAUGUUGCAAAAUGCGGGGAUGAGCUGUGGAUAGGGGUGAAAGGCUAAACAAACUCGGAGAUAGCUGGUUCUCCCCGAAAACUAUUUAGGUAGUGCCUCGAGUAAGAGACUGAUGGGGGUAAAGCACUGUUAUGGCUAGGGGGUUAUUGCAACUUACCAACCCAUGGCAAACUAAGAAUACCAUCAAGUUGUUCCUCGGGAGACAGACAGCGGGUGCUAACGUCCGUUGUCAAGAGGGAAACAACCCAGACCGCCAGCUAAGGUCCCAAAUGACAGAUUAAGUGGUAAACGAAGUGGGAAGGCCCAGACAGCCAGGAUGUUGGCUUAGAAGCAGCCAUCAUUUAAAGAAAGCGUAAUAGCUCACUGGUCGAGUCGUCCUGCGCGGAAGAUGUAACGGGGCUCAAAUCUGUAACCGAAGCUGCGGAUGCUAGCAAUAGCAUGGUAGGGGAGCGUUCUGUAGGCCGAAGAAGGUGUGUUGUAAAGCAUGCUGGAGGUAUCAGAAGUGCGAAUGUUGACAUGAGUAGCGAUAAAGCGGGUGAAAAGCCCGCUCGCCGAAAGCCCAAGGUUUCCUACGCAACGUUCAUCGGCGUAGGGUGAGUCGGCCCCUAAGGCGAGGCAGAAAUGCGUAGUCGAUGGGAAACGGGUUAAUAUUCCCGUACUUUGAUUCAAUGCGAUGUGGGGACGGAGAAGGUUAGGUUAGCAAACUGUUGGAAUAGUUUGUUCAAGCCGGUAGGUGGAAGACUUAGGCAAAUCCGGGUCUUCAUAACACCGAGAAGUGAUAACGAGUGUCUACGGACACGAAGUAACCGAUACCACGCUUCCAGGAAAAGCCACUAAGCUUCAGUUGAAUCAGAACCGUACCGCAAACCGACACAGGUGGGCAGGAUGAGAAUUCUAAGGCGCUUGAGAGAACUCGGGAGAAGGAACUCGGCAAAUUGAUACCGUAACUUCGGGAGAAGGUAUGCCCUUCGAUGUGAAAGACUUGCUCUGUAAGCAUUGGAGGGUCGCAGAGAAUCGGUGGCUGCGACUGUUUAUUAAAAACACAGCACUCUGCUAACACGAAAGUGGACGUAUAGGGUGUGACGCCUGCCCGGUGCUGGAAGGUUAAUUGAAGAUGUGAGAGCAUCGGAUCGAAGCCCCAGUAAACGGCGGCCGUAACUAUAACGGUCCUAAGGUAGCGAAAUUCCUUGUCGGGUAAGUUCCGACCCGCACGAAUGGCGUAACGAUGGCCACACUGUCUCCUCCCGAGACUCAGCGAAGUUGAAGUGGUUGUGAAGAUGCAAUCUACCCGCUGCUAGACGGAAAGACCCCGUGAACCUUUACUGUAGCUUUGCAUUGGACUUUGAAGUCACUUGUGUAGGAUAGGUGGGAGGCUUAGAAGCAGAGACGCCAGUUUCUGUGGAGCCGUCCUUGAAAUACCACCCUGGUGUCUUUGAGGUUCUAACCCAGGUCCGUCAUCCGGAUCGGGGACCGUGCAUGGUAGGC